GCUGACACAUCCCUGCCAAUCUCCGGCAGACCCUCCCUCCCAGACUCUCCUACUUCCUGGACAGCAUCCAUGUUGAAGCUGCCUUCAACAUGGAUGCUGUCCAGGAAGUAGGAGGGUCUGGGAGGGAGGGUCUGCCGGAGAUUGGCAGGGAUGUGUCAG